rnacentral:rRNA from 1 species
GAGUUUGAUCCUGGCUCAGGAUGAACGCUAGCGGCAGGCCUAAUACAUGCAAGUCGAACGGUAAGUAGAGUAGCAAUACUUUACCAAGAGUGACGCACGGGUGCGUAACACGUAUGCAACCUACCCUUUACAGAUGGAUAGCUCGGGGAAACUCGAAUUAACCCGUCAUAAUAUAAUUGGAUGGCAUCAUUUGAUUAUUAAAACUGAGGUGGUAAAGGAUGGGCAUGCGUCUGAUUAGCUAGUUGGUAGUGUAACGGACUACCAAGGCGAUGAUCAGUAGGGGAACUGAGAGGUUGAUCCCCCACACUGGCACUGAGAUACGGGCCAGACUCCUACGGGAGGCAGCAGUAGGGAAUAUUGGUCAAUGGGUGAGAGCCUGAACCAGCCAUGCCGCGUGCAGGAAGAAGGCCUUCUGGGUUGUAAACUGCUUUUGCCAGGGGAUAAAAUGACCUUGCGAGGUUAAUUGAAGGUACCUGGUGAAUAAGCCACGGCUAACUACGUGCCAGCAGCCGCGGUAAUACGUAGGUGGCAAGCGUUGUCCGGAUUUAUUGGGUUUAAAGGGUGCGUAGGCGGCCCUGUAAGUCAGUGCUGAAAUAUUCCAGCUUAACUGGGAGGGUGGCAUUGAUACUGUGGGGCUAGAGUACAGAUGAGGUAGGCGGAAUUGACGGUGUAGCGGUGAAAUGCUUAGAUAUCGUCAAGAACACCUAUAGCGAAGGCAGCUUACUAGGCUGUAACUGACGCUGAGGCACGAAAGUGUGGGGAUCAAACAGGAUUAGAUACCCUGGUAGUCCACGCCCUAA